rnacentral:rRNA from 1 species
UACAGAGGGUGCGAGCGUUAAUCGGAAUUACUGGGCGUAAAGCGUGCGUAGACGGUUAUUUAAGUCGGAUGUGAAAGCCCCGGGCUCAACCUGGGAAUUGCAUUCGAGACUGAAUAGCUAGGGUACGGUAGAGGGAAGCGGAAUUUCCGGUGUAGCGGUGAAAUGCGUAGAUAUCGGAAAGGAACAUCAGUGGCGGAAAGCGGCUUCCUGGACCAGUACCGACGUCAGGCACGAAAGC